rnacentral:lncRNA from 1 species
CCUCUUUCCUCUUACCCUCGUUUCUCACCUUUCACCCUGUCCCUCGGCCCGCUUUUCCCCUCCCCGCUCUGUCCUGUCGUUUUCUUAACACUCUUCACACGCGCACUUCCUCCUCCUCCUCUUCUCUUUUUCCCACCCCUACCUUUGGGCCCUCCUUCCUUAACCUCCGCUGGCCCCCCAUUCCAUGAUCCGUCCACCUGACACGCUGGGUUUCAUGCCUCUCUUUCCCAGGCUGUGGGUUGUGCCCUUCACUCCUUGCCCUCCUCCAUUCCCUGUCCUGAUCUGAACUCCUCUCCUUGCCACGCUCCCUCACCCUUAUCCCUCUGCACACUCCAAAAUUUUUAAAGAAAAAGGAGAGAGAGAAAAAAAAGUAAAAGAAAAGAAACCCAAAAGGGAAAAUAUAGCUAAGGUGAACUGCAAAACCAUAUUCCUGCUGCUGUCAGUUAUGAUGCACUGAGAAAACUUCAGAGACCUAAACUUUUUCCAGAGAAGAGAAGCUUUACUGGUGUUCCAGCCCUAAGAAACCUUUGUUCAAGAAAACGGCAGAUGCUCUGUUGAAUCCACUGGAGAUUGUUCUGAUACUAAGGACAAGUAUCAACCAUCUUUCCUGUGAAAAAUUCCCUCUCGUACUUUAGUUCUGUGGAUCCAAAAUUUAUAGCAUUCUUCUACCACCACAGGGGCUCAUAUGACAUUAACAGACAAGACACUUUUCAGAAAGACAGAAACUACUCUGAAAAACUCUCUUAAUUCUUUUUACGGCCGGGUGCGGUGGCUGGAGCCUGUAAUCCAAGCACUUUGGGAGGCCGAGGUGGGUGGAUCACCUGAGAUCUGGAGUUCGAGACCAGCCUGGCCAACAAGGUGAAACCCCACCUCUAUUAAAAAUACAAAAAUUAGCUGGGUGUGGUGGCACACACCUGUACUCCCAGCUACUUGAGAGGUU